UGUAUCCCUAUCCUAAAAAUCCGAAUAAUACAUUAGACAAGAUCAUACUCAAUAUUAUUUCACCUCAUUGAACAAUUGUUUACUACUUAAUAGUCUUUUUGAGUUUUCUCUUAAUUUCUUGUUGUUUCGAAAUUUAAAUUGAAAAUCUUUUACACCAAUUCCUUGCAACUUUUCCAACAUUUCGCUCAGUCUCAUUAUAUUAGUAAUUGUGUAAACAAACGCAUGUGAAAAGUGUAAGACAAAGUGAGCUUAAAAUUAUAACAGUGUUUUCGCAAGUGUGAUGAAAGGUGUACAAUUAAAUGUUGAUAUUUAUAAGUGCUAGAAAUAACGACCAAGAGUUUCAUCACAGAUAAAAUUGUGCUGUAAAAAAUUAGUAACAAAACUUAUGAAUGGUUAGAAUGAUUAGUGCACAUACCGCAGCCGCUGUAUUUUCCAUUGAAUUAUAAACCUUUAUUGGAUUUAGUUAUUUUCGAUUUGGUGUAUUUGCAUUAUUUAAUUGCAGUUAAUUGGAUGUGUGGGAUGAUGCGGUAGUUAAAGUAGGCGAUAGAAAAAAAUAUGAGAGUUGAAAUUGCAAUAAAGAAAAUUAAUCGAUCAGGCGCAUCAAAGCAAACAGCUGCAAUUCAUUUACACACACAAUCAAUUAUGCUCGACAAAUUAAUUAAAACGGAACACAAAACCAAUUGCAAAAUUACUUUACAUGAAAAAAUGCAAAAAAGAAGCGUUGUACUCACACUGCGUACGCGAUAAUUAUUUAGCUGUUCAGUCUCUUCAUCAACACCGACACUACAGCGGAAGAAUUGCAAUUAAAGCAAUCACAUUUCACAUUUCAACGCAAAAACUUACGGUAUUUUAAGCCAAUUUAGCAAGAAAUUGGAUGCGCCACCCUGUAUGACGACCGUGAAAAUCACAAUUAAUGAGGUUGCAGUCAACAUUGUUUGACGUGCCUCCGAAACAGUAUUGCGUAUGGCCAAAGCAAAGGACAUGGCACCACGCAAACCUACAAAAACACACAUUUUGUUGUAAAAAAAAUAUAGUUAUAAGCAGUACUAACGUUAUAGUACCUGCAAAGAACAGCAUGUGUUGGAAAUUCGAUGAAAUUUUCGGUUUACGAUUCAAAUUUAACAGCCAAGAUAGUGGAUAGAUGUUAACGGCGCGUCCAAUAGCAGCGGUAAC